AUGUUAUGUUAAUGUUAUGUUAAUGUUAUGAGUGGGGCACGGCAGGAUCGCUGAGGCGAAGCCGGUGGGCGGGGAUUUGGGCGGAGCUUUGGGCGGAGCUUUGAGCGGAGCUUUGGGCGGGGCUUUGGGCGGAGCUUUGGGCGGGGCUUUGGGCGGAGCUUUGGGCGGGGCUUUGGGUGGGGCUUUGGGCGGGGCUUUAGGCGGAGCUUUGAGCUGAGCUUAAGUCAGGGUCGCGUCACGGCCAUGCCGGGCCUGAGUCGGGCGUGGUAAAGUGGGAAGGAACGAGCGCCAUGGAGUUGCCGGCUCCGCGUGGCAGCAGCGUGAUGUCGCUGGUCCCCGUCGUGGUGCUCUUGGCUCUGUGCCCGCUCCUCGCCCGGGCAGACCAGCCUCCUGUCACCAUCACGGUGACAGCGGCCAUCGGCGAGGACGCCUACCUGCCCUGCGGCCCGCGGCCCUGGGGUGACCUGCGCAGGGCCACCCUCAGCUGCACCCACCACAGGCACUGUCCCCUUUGGGGUCUCUCUCAUUCCCUGCCGUACCCAGCCCUGUCCCUGUCUCCAUGGUGCCAGAAUUUGGGGGUGUCACCAAUUCCCUGCUGUGCCUGUCACCUGCUCUGUCCAUUGUCCCGAUCUGGGUGGUGCCCCCAACACUUUUCACCCCAAUUGGAGCCUCCUCAUUCCCUGACUCAUCUGUCACCUCCUCCAGCUGAGUCACCAUCUUGGUGAUACCAGGUGUCCCUGACGUGUCCCUUGUGCCACCUGAGCAGUGACCAGUGUCCCUGCCCUGUUCUCCUGUCCUAUUUGAGGUCCCACAUGCCUGACGUGUCCCUUGUGCCACCUGAGCAGUGCCAGGUGUCCCUGACGUGUUCCCCUGCCCUAUU
rnacentral:lncRNA from 1 species